UGGGGAAUUUUGGACAAUGGGCGAAAGCCUGAUCCAGCAAUGCCGCGUGAGGGAUGACGGCCUUCGGGUUGUAAACCUCUUUUAGCAGGGAAGAAGCGAGAGUGACGGUACCUGCAGAAAAAGCGCCGGCUAACUACGUGCCAGCAGCCGCGGUAAUACGUAGGGCGCAAGCGUUAUCCGGAAUUAUUGGGCGUAAAGAGCUCGUAGGCGGUUUGUCGCGUCUGCUGUGAAAUCCCGAGGCUCAACCUCGGGCCUGCAGUGGGUACGGGCAGACUAGAUGCGGUAGGGGAGAUUGGAAUUCCUGGUGUAGCGGUGGAAUGCGCAGAUAUCAGGAGGAACACCGAUGGCGAAGGCAGAUCUCUGGGCCGUAACUGACGCUGAGGAGCGAAAGGGUGGGGAGCAAACAGGCUUAGAUACCCUGGUAGUCCACCCGUAAACGUUGGGAACUAAGUUGUGGGGNCCAUUCCACGGAUUCCGUGACGCAGCUAACGCAUUAAGUUCCCCGCCUGGGGAGUACGGCCGCAAGGCUAAAACUU
rnacentral:rRNA from 1 species